AUGGGCAACUGCACAACUCUUCAUCUUCACAGAUACUGUAACAUCGGACGCAUCAAAACCAUUCACUUUGGACCUGCAACAAUGAGGAGGAUGAGCAGACAGGCUACUGAAGUAAAUCUGGAUGAAUGGCCUCAGAGAGAACCAUCUGGAGGAUUCCUUUACCUUUGCCAUCAUCUUGUGAUCAACCAUUCUCGGGGUAUGGGACAUGGAUGCAGUAAAAGCCAUCACUGCAGAAGGAGGACCUUGUUUUGUAGCAGUGAUGAUGAUCCCUGACACCAUCAUCAUAUAUUCUAUAUAUAGUCAGGACUUUCACCCUCCUGGUGAUGUAUCGUGGUAUUAACACAUGUCACUUUCCAGCUUCUGUAUAGUACAGACAACAUGCAGGUAUUUUGGUUGCAAUUUGUAUUAUACGUUUCUUGCAACAAAAUCCCGACCAUACUAAUUUGCAUUAUUAAUUAUAUAUACGUGACAUCACAAGAUACACGUAUG